rnacentral:snoRNA from 1 species
GCCUGGCUGUCUUUAAAUUCUUCAUGCUGUAAUAUCCCAUGCCAGAACAAACUGUGACCCUGAACCAUUGCCUGGCCUCUGUGUAGGCUGCUGUCACUGAAGUGGGUUGCAUAGUA